rnacentral:rRNA from 1 species
GACGAACGCUGGCGGCGUGCUUAACACAUGCAAGUCGAACGGAAAGGCCCUGCUUUUGUGGGGUGCUCGAGUGGCGAACGGGUGAGUAACACGUGAGUAACCUGCCCUUGACUUUGGGAUAACUUCAGGAAACUGGGGCUAAUACCGGAUAGGAGCUCCUGCUGCAUGGUGGGGGUUGGAAAGUUUCGGCGGUUGGGGAUGGACUCGCGGCUUAUCCGCUUGUUUGUGGGGUAGUGGCUUACCAAGGCUUUGACGGGUAGGCGGCCUGAGAGGGUGACCGGCCACAUUGGGACUGAGAUACGGCCCAGACUCCUACGGGAGGCAGCAGUGGGGAAUAUUGCACAAUGGGCGGAAGCCUGAUGCAGCAACGCCGCGUGCGGGAUGACGGCCUUCGGGUUGUAAACCGCUUUCGCCUGUGACGAAGCGUGAGUGACGGUAAUGGGUAAAGAAGCACCGGCUAACUACGUG